rnacentral:rRNA from 1 species
ACGGGAGGCAGCAGUGGGGAAUAUUGGGCAAUGGGCGCAAGCCUGACCCAGCAACGCCGCGUGAAGGAAGAAGGUUUUCGGAUUGUAAACUUCUGUCCUUGGUGACGAAGGAAGUGACGGUAGCCAAGGAGGAAGCCCCGGCUAACUACGUGCCAGCAGCCGCGGUAAUACGUAGGGGGCAAGCGUUGUCCGGAAUUACUGGGUGUAAAGGGAGCGCAGGCGGGAAAUCAAGUUGGAUGUGAAAUGUCGGGGCUUAACCCCGGAACUGCAUCCAAAACUGAUUUUCUUGAGUGAAGUAGAGGUAGGCGGAAUUCCGAGUGUAGCGGUGAAAUGCGUAGAUAUUCGGAGGAACACCAGUGGCGAAGGCGGCCUACUGGGCUUUAACUGACGCUGAGGCUCGAAAGUGUGGGGAGCAAACAGGAUUAGAUACCCUGGUA